rnacentral:rRNA from 1 species
GAACUUAAGCAUAUCAAUAAGCGGAGGAAAAGAAACCAACAGGGAUUGCCCUAGUAACGGCGAGUGAAGCGGCAACAGCUCAAAUUUGAAAUCUGGCCCUUGGGUCCGAGUUGUAAUUUGUAGAGGAUGUUUUUGGUGCGGUAUCUUCCAAGUUCCUUGGAACAGGACGCCUUAGAGGGUGAGAGCCCCGUACGGUUGAAUGCCUAGCCUCUGUAAAACUCCUUCGACGAGUCGAGUAGUUUGGGAAUGCUGCUCUAAAUGGGAGGUAAAUUUCUUCUAAAGCUAAAUACUGGCCAGAGACCGAUAGCGCACAAGUAGAGUGAUCGAAAGAUGAAAAGCACUUUGAAAAGAGGGUUAAAUAGCACGUGAAAUUGUUGAAAGGGAAGGAUUUAUGACCAGACUUUUUCUGGGCGGAUCAUCCGGUGUUCUCACCGGUGCACUUCGCUCAGUUUAGGCCAGCAUCGAUUUUCGGUGGGGGAUAAAAGCUUUAGGAAUGUGGCUCCUCCGGGAGUGUUAUAGCCUAUUGUAUAAUACCCUACUGGGGAUCGAGGUACGCGCUUCUGCAAGGAUGCUGGCGUAAUGGUUAUCAAUCACCCGUCUUGAAACACGGACCAAGGAGUCGAACAUUUGUGCAAGUGUUUGGGUGUUAAACCCUCACGCGUAAUGAAAGUGAACGGAGGUGAGAGCCCUUACGGGUGCAUCAUCGACCGAUCCUGAUGUUUUCGGAUGGAUUUGAGUAAGAGCAUAACUGUUCGGACCCGAAA